GCAAUUGUUAAUUAAACAGUCACAUGCUUUACUUCUUGUGCUCUCACAUUCUUCGAAUGUCACACUCUCCCUUAUUUUGCAUGCGUCGAUAGACAAAGCAUUAUCUCUCCUUUUUACAUGCGAUGGAACACAAGGUGUUCUUCCACCUUUUGUGUGCAGUGUAAGACAAUGGCGUUUUCAGUUUUUUUUGUUUGUGUUUUACUUAAUGGCGGGAGCUCUUGAUCUUGUGGUUGAUGGCUUGCUUUGUUCUGUCAUUGAUCAUGCCACAUUUACGUUCUCUCCUUCGAGUUCCUACAAUUGUUAAAUAGUCAUAUGUUUUACCUUGUGCUCUCGCAUUCUUGGUGCGCUUCAUGUGCUCCCACAUUCUUCAAAUUUUAUUAUCUUCAUGUAUUAUAUCCCUUUUACUCGUUGUACAACACAAGGCAUUCUCUCCCUUUCGAGUGUGAUAGAAUACAAGUCAUUCUCCCACAACUUUGUGUGUCGUGGAAGACAAUGUGUCAUGUAAUCAAAUUUGUUUUUUGCUUUUUAGGUUACGUCAGAAGCUCUUCUCGUGGUACAUGGCUUUAUUUGUAUGCCAUUGGUCGCGCCACAUUUAUGUUCUCUCCUAGUCUCCAUAAUUGCUAAACAUUCAUAUGUUUUACCAUGUGCGCUCUGCCGCUCUCACAUUCUCUGUGCGCUUUGCCAUGUGUUGCCGGAUUUUGUGACAGUAAUCCCACAUUUUUUAUUGGUUUCUAUCAAUAAUCAUGGGAGCUAGCCACACAAUAGUUUUUCACUUUACUUGUGGCACUACAAGACAUAUAAAUGAUAAUUUAUAUGUCAUCGGUGGCGCGUUUUAUAGGAACCGCCACUGAUGGGUGAUUUUUGGAUUUUUUUUGGGUUUCACGAGGAAGUCAUCUGCCGCCACUGAUAGAGGGUCGCAUAUAGCCUGGUUCGUACUAGUGUGAACAAAAUUUUGUGGGUAUAUACGAUUCAAAUGAAACUGCAUUUAUCUUAUUGUUAAGAUCUUUAGUAUUUCAUUAUGUUCCUUUUGCCCAUUGAAACAACGUGGAGUUGUAUAAUCAAAUUUGGUAUUACUUUUCAGCCUUUUUCUCUUCUUCGUAGCAAUAGGUGAUCUUGACGUGGUAUAUGACUAUUGUUACGUGAUACUUUGUGGUUGCCUACUUUUUUGUUUGGCGAAUGUGGUUGAACUUGAAUUUUUUUUAGUUCUGACGUGGAUACCCUUUGUUGGGAUGAGUAUUAACGUGACAUUUUUUUGGAUGUGGGGUGUAUAGAUUUUAGGAUGUGUUGUCUAUAUAUAUAGAUGAUCUUUUUCAUAUUUAUCCAUCAUGAUGUUUGACUGUUUGCAUAGAGCAAUUGCAUAUAUGUACUUCUUUAUUUGCCACCAUGUUUGAGAGAAGGUAAAAUUGGAUCCAUGAAUCCUGAUCCUCUUGUGCAUAUACAUGCCUUCUGGAUUGAUGUUUUGAAAUCCAACGCAUCUGUUUUGUUAACGAGACACUGCGUUGUAAUUUGAACAGGUUAACCCGAAAUUUCUAAACUAUAGAGCCAUGCGUGACAAGUUGAAGACUGUUGGGAAUAUGCCCUAGAGGCAAUCAUGUAUGAUGUAAUUCCUAAUGUAUUCAUAAAGAUUAUUAAGUUGUCCUUGUUUGAACAUCUGAUAUGCAUCAUUGAAUAUGUGAUUUGAUUGUGGAACUAUGU
rnacentral:lncRNA from 1 species